GAUGAACGCUGGCGGCGUGCCUAAUACAUGCAAGUCGAGCGAACAGACGAGGAGCUUGCUCCUCUGACGUUAGCGGCGGACGGGUGAGUAACACGUGGAUAACCUACCUAUAAGACUGGGAUAACUUCGGGAAACCGGAGCUAAUACCGGAUAAUAUAUUGAACCGCAUGGUUCAAUAGUGAAAGACGGUUUUGCUGUCACUUAUAGAUGGAUCCGCGCCGCAUUAGAUAGUUGGUAAGGUAACGGCUUACCAAGGCAACGAUGCGUAGCCGACCUGAGAGGGUGAUCGGCCACACUGGAACUAGGACACGGUCCAGACUCCUACGGGAGGCAGCAGUAGGGAAUCUUCCGCAAUGGGCGAAAGCCUGACGGAGCAACGCCGCGUGAGUGAUGAAGGUCUUCGGAUCGUAAAACUCUGUUAUUAGGGAAGAACAAAUGUGUAAGUAACUAUGCACGUCUUGACGGUACCUAAUCAGAAAGCCACGGCUAACUACGUG
rnacentral:rRNA from 1 species